rnacentral:rRNA from 1 species
UACGGAGGGGGCUAGCGUUGUUCGGAAUUACUGGGCGUAAAGGGCGCGUAGGCGGCGUGACAAGUCACUUGUGAAAUCUCCGGGCUUAACUCGGAACGGUCAAGUGAUACUGUCGUGCUAGAGUACAGAAGGGGCAACUGGAAUUCUCGGUGUAGCGGUGAAAUGCGUAAUAUACGUGAGAGGAACACCUGCGGCGAAGGCGGGUUGCUGGGCUGAUACUGACGCUGAGGCGCGAAAGCUAGGGGAGCGAACGGG